GAUGAACGCUGGCGGCGUGCCUAAUACAUGCAAGUCGAGCGAACGGACGAGAAGCUUGCUUUUCUGAUGUUAGCGGCGGACGGGUGAGUAACACGUGGAUAACCUACCUAUAAGACUGGGAUAACUUCGGGAAACCGGAGCUAAUACCGGAUAAUAUUUUGAACCGCAUGGUUCAAAAGUGAAAGACGGUCUUGCUGUCACUUAUAGAUGGAUCCGCGCUGCAUUAGCUAGUUGGUAAGGUAACGGCUUACCAAGGCAACGAUGCAUAGCCGACCUGAGAGGGUGAUCGGCCGCACUGGAACUGAGACACGGUCCAGACUCCUACGGGAGGCAGCAGUAGGGAAUCUUCCGCAAUGGGCGAAAGCCUGACGGAGCAACGCCGCGUGAGUGAUGAAGGUCUUCGGAUCGUAAAACUCUGUUAUUAGGGAAGAACAUAUGUGUAAGUAACUGUGCACAUCUUGACGGUACCUAAUCAGAAAGCCACGGCUAACUACGU
rnacentral:rRNA from 1 species